AACGUAGGUGGCGAGCGUUAUCCGGAUUUACUGGGCGUAAAGGGUGUGCAGGCUGCCCCCCAAGUGGGGUGUGAAAGCACCCGGCUCAACCGGGUCAUGGUAUGCCAGACUGAAGGGCUAGAGAGCGAGAGCGGGACGUGGAAUUCCGGGUGUAGUGGUGAAAUGCGUAGAGAUCUGGAGGAACCCCAGAGGCGAAGGCGGCGUCCUGGCUCGCAUCUGACGCUCAGACACGACAGCAUGGGGAGCGAACGGG
rnacentral:rRNA from 1 species